AUUGAACGCUGGCGGCAUGCCUUACACAUGCAAGUCGAACGGUAACGCGGGGGCAACCCUGGCGACGAGUGGCGAACGGGUGAGUAAUACAUCGGAACAUAUCCAGUAGCGGGGGAUAACCUAUCGAAAGAUUGGCUAAUACCGCAUACGAUCUACGGAUGAAAGCGGGGGACCGCAAGGCCUCGCACUAUUGGAGUGGCCGAUGUCAGAUUAGCUAGUUGGUGGGGUAAAAAGCCUACCAAGGCGACGAUCUGUAGCUGGUCUGAGAGGACGAUCAGCCACACUGGAACUGAGACACGGUCCAGACUCCUACGGGAGGCAGCAGUGGGGAAUUUUGGACAAUGAGCGCAAGCCUGAUCCAGCCAUGCCGCGUGAGUGAAGAAGGCCCUUCGGGUUGGUUAAAGGACUCUUUCGGUUGAAGACGAAACGGUUAAGACGCUAAUAACGCUGACUAAU
rnacentral:rRNA from 1 species